AUAAUGCAAGUGUUUAACAGAUGCUUCACUAUUAAAAUAUUUUCCCCCCAAGUCUCAAAUAUUGAAGAAUCUCUAACCAGGGACACCAGUCCCAACGAAGACCUUGGGCGAUUUCAAAGUGCGGGCACCUCGAUUCCCCGAAUCUGUAGUGUGGCUGGUAUCGGUGUUUCCCUGGUUUAACUAGCCUGCUUGUGGAAGUGACUCUGACCGUUCCCUUAAGAAUCUUUAAUGCUCUUACAUGAGAUGAGCCUCAGAACAAGCUAAGAACCCUCUGAAAGAACAUCAAGCCUGGAAGGUGACAGAAGGAGCAAUGUGUUCUUGAAGAUGUCACCUCAGCCCACCUGCUCCAAGAACAGUGCUUCUUGCGACACUCUGAUGGCUCUGCAUUCUUUUCUGUACCAGGAAGGCGCAGAUCAUUCAUGGGGAAGUAAAACCGAAACCAGUCCUCUCCACCCCCUGCGGGUCUUCACUUUCCCAGUCUACAUCUGCCUGUGACUCCAGAAAGACAAACUGCAGAUUGGCCAAGAUGGGGAAAUUGAGGCACAGAAGCCAAGACAUGCGCUAAAGGUCAUGCGGGCUAUGAAUGGAGCUGGAAUGUGAAUGCAGGCCAUGUGACUCCAGAGCCCAUGUUCUUGAACCCUUAGAAAGACAGCAGCAACACACCUGGUGCAGCAGCUGCUUAGUUGGAGUGGCUGACAAGAGAUCCUGGCAAAUGGGUGUUUCUUCUCAGAAACUGAUUUUUCUCCAUGACUGCAGUUGAAUUACAGAGUUGUAGAGACAUCCAGGUUCUUGUUAGUGUGGACGAACUAUCCAUGAAGAUCUUAAAUGCAGGAGUCUAUGAGAACACCAAUUAAUCAAUUGUUAAAUAUUUGAGUAUCUGUUGUGAGCAAGGCACUGUAUAACCAUUAUGUCAUGUAUUAAUCUAUUGGAAAAUAAUUUGACCUUGCUUGUA
rnacentral:antisense_RNA from 1 species